rnacentral:siRNA from 1 species
UUGUGUCGCUAGACCGGCACA